GACUAAUACAAAUACUUUAGUUUAUACAAUCUUUUUGUUUUUGUUUGGUUUGGUUUUGGUUUUGGUUUUAGUGGAAGAGUUAAAUAAUGGGCAAAGAAUGGUUUCUCAUAUGACAUCCUAGAAAAACAAAAGUAUAAGGAAAGAACAGUAGAGUGGUAGAAACAGAGAAGGAUAGGGAUGUGGUUGACUACAGGGUUAGUCUGUUUUUGUUGCUAUAAAAUUGCUAUAAAUUACCCAUACCUGAGGUUUGUUCCUAUAAAUUACCCAUACCUGGGUGGGGUUGGGUAAUUCAUAAAAAUGAUUAAUUGGCUUUUAGUUCUAAAGGCUUCACAGGAAGCAUUGUGCUGGAACCUGCUCCUGGUGAGGGCUUAAGGAAACUUCUAAUCAUGGGAGAAGGCAAAGGAGAGCCAACAUGUUAUAUGGCAAGACAGGAAGCAAGAGAGAGGAAGGAGGAGGUGCCAGUCUCCUUUAAACAACUUGCCCUUGUGCACAAAAAUACAGAACAAGAACUCCCUCAUUACUGUAAGGAUGGUACCAAACUGUUCGUGAGGGAUUUGCUCCCAUGACACAAACGCCUCCCACCAGGACCCAUUUCCAACAGAGAGGAUCACAUUGUAACAUGAGAUUUGGAGGGGAUAAACAUCCAAGACAUAACAGCUACCAAGAGUCAUAGACUAUGGAAAUGAUGUUAGACAAAAAGCAAAUUUGAGCAAUUUUCUUAUUCGAGUCCAAAAUGGGUCAUAAUGUAGUGGAGACAACUUGCAACAUCAACAACGCAUUUGGCCCAGGAACUGCUAAUGAAUAUACAGGUGCAGUGGUGGUUCAAGAAGUUUUGCAAAGGAGACGAGAACCUUGAAGAUGAGGAGCAUCACGGCCAGCCAUCAGAAGCUAACAAUGAAUGACCAGCUGAAAGCAAUCAUUGAAGCGAUCUCUUACAACUACACGAGAAGUCGCCAAGGAACUCAAUGUCGACCAUGGUUAUUUGGCAUUUGAAACAAAUUGGAAAGAUGAGAAAGCUUGAUAAGUGGGUGCCUCAUGAUCUGAGCCAAAAUAAAAAAAAUCAACCUUUCGAAGUGCUGCCUUCUCUUAUUCUACACAACAACAAACAGUUUCUCAAUUGGAUUGUGAUGUAUGACAACAGGUGGAUUUUAUAUGACAACUGCCGAUGACCAGCUCAGCAGUUGGGCUGAGAAGAAGCUCCAAAGCACUUCCCAAAGCCAAAUUUGCACAGAAAAAGGUCAUGGUUACUGUUGGUGGUCUGCUGCCAGUCUGAUCCACUACUGCUUUCUGAAUCAUGUCUGGCAAAACCAUUACAUCUGAGAAUUAUGCUCAGCAAAUUGAUGAGAUGCAUUGAAAACUGCAACAUCUGCCGUGUCAUUGGUCAACAAAAAGGACCCAAUUCUUCUAUGCGAUAACGCCUGACUGCACGUGGCACAACCAACACUUCAUAAGUUGAAUGAAUUGGGCUACGAAGUUUUGCCUUAUCCGCCGUAUUCACCCAACAUCUUGCCAACCAACUACCACUUUUUUAUUUUUAUUUAUUUAUUUAUUUAUUUAUUUAUUUAUUUAUUUAUUUAUUUAUUUUGAGACAGUCUCGCUCUGUCACCGAGGCUGGAGUACAGUGGCGCAAUCUCGGCUCACUGCAACCUCUGCCUCCUGGGGUUCAAGUGAUACUCCUGCCUCAGCCUCCUGCUGACUACCACUUCUUAAAGUAUCUUGACAACUUUUUUGGAGGGAAAAUGUUUCCACAACCAGCAAGAUGCAGAAAAUGCUUUCCAAAAGUUUGUCAAAUCCUGAAGCACAGAUUUUUACUACAAGAAUAAACAAACUUAUUUCUCAUUGGCAAAAAUGUGUUGAUUGUAAUUGUUCCCAUUUUGAUUAAUAAAGAUGUGUUUCAGUCUAGUUACAAUGACUUAAAAGUCACCGUCCAAAGCUGCAAUUACGUUUGCAUCAACCUAGUAGAAUAAUUAUACCAUAGACAAGAUUACAAAGCAAAUGAAUUAUUUCUCUAACUGAAUGCAAAUUUAUUCAUGAAGAGAGUAAAGUAACAUUUGCACCAGAAAAUCAUAGCUGAAGCCAGCAAUUUUCCAGAGGGAAAUUUGUUAAUGAACCUUUAGCUAUUCAGAGAAUAAUCUUUUUCAAAGCUUGAUAACAUCUAUAACCCUCUCCCUAAGACAAAAUUUACUAAGGUUUUUAAAAAAUAAAAAAAGGGUUUUUUUUCUAUUUUUAUGAACAUAAUAUUACUUAAACCAUCAUCUAAAUUAGGAUUUCUCCACUGCAGCAUAUCACUGUUUUGGACCAGAUAAUUCUGAUUGUUGAAGGUAUAAGGUGCAUUUCAAGAUGUUUUCCAGCAUCUUUGGUCUCUGCUAGGUUCUAAUAGCAAUUACUCAGUCAUGACAAUCUAAAAUAUCUCUUGAAAUUGCCAAAUGUUUCUUGGGAGACAAAAUUGCUUCUAAUUAAAAAAUACUAACCUAAAUAUAUGUCUACCCUCUUCUGCUCACAUUGUACUAAAGGUACUUAUUUUCAACCACAGAUAUGACAGUCAAACAUUUUCUGGAAGUCUAUGGUAUUUCUGGAUGCUGCGAUGAUAAAAAUGGACUUUAAAUGAAUUAAUACAUGUAGUCAUUGAAGAAAAGGGGCCUUUGUUAGAGUUUACAGGGAGAAAAAUAAUAUAUUUCUUUAAUUGGUAGAAAGAAGAUACUUGAGUUAAAGAUUUGUCUUCUCUAUGCUGACUCAGAAGCUGUGUUAGGACCCAUGACUGGAUGUUACAGUGAAAAAUACUAAAACGGAAUAGAAGAAUUUAAAUAAUUAGAACUUUGCUAAAAUGAUGUUUAAAUGUUUAUUAAAAAUUACUUAGGAUUACCAAGGAUUUAAAAACUAAAAAUGAUUUUUUUUUGUUGGGGGACAUAAUAUUACUUAAGUCAUCAUCUAAAUCAGGAUUUCUCAAAUGUAGCACUAUUGCUAUUUUGGACAACACACUUAAAUUACUACUGCGUAUUAACUAUUGAUAAUAUACCAUCUUGAAUUACCAGCUCAGGUUAUCCAUACAUUUCAACUAUUGUGGUAUUUAUAUUUUGAUAAUUUGUAAGAGUCUUUUUUAAAGAAAAGCCAUUAACUUUUGCUUGCUAUAUGUAAUACAUAUGUCACUACUAUAUUUAAUUUUUUCACUUUUUGAUUAUUUUCAAUAUAGAGCUCUUGUUAAUUUUUUUUACUCCAAGCCAUUAAUAUGUUGCUAUUAUUUAUCCAUUGCUUUUAUGUCUAGUAAGCUCUUUCCCAUAAUUAGAAAAACAAACACCUGAAUAUUUAUUGACUCUGUUUUUAAUUUGUUUAGUAACUUUUAUAUUCUGUCAUUAUUAAAGUACUUCUAAUUCCAGGCUACUGAAUCUUCAAAAACUGGGAAAAUAAUUUAUUUACUGAAUGCCUACAGCAUGCCUGGGUGGUUUAAAAGUUGCGUCCUAUAUAACCUUAUUUAACAUGUCAUCACUAUUAACAAGGUAUAAUUAUUCUUAGUUUACAGAUGAGGAUAUUGAAACCCACAAAAUGUAAUAGUUCUAUCAAUUCCACACAGUUAUAUGCAGUGGAGCAGACAUUUAGACCAGUUCUGCUUGACCUAAAGCUCAUGUUCUUUCAAUUACAGCAAUACUCUACAAGCAAUAGGGAGCAUCUUAGACUUUUAAGUGGGAAAAAUGACAUGAUCAAAGCUGUGCUUUAAGAAAAUCUAUUUAGCAGAAGCGGACAUGGAACAUUUUUAAAAAGGGGAGUCUGAAUGCUAUUGAAAUAGCCAAAUAGCCAAGUCAAGGAUAAUGAAAUCCCUGGGUCUGAAUGAGUAUAGUAACUGGAAACUGAAGAGGAAGAAAUAGAAAAAGAGGUAUUAUGGGAAGAUAAUUUACAGAAAAGGGUAACUGAUUCAAUGUUGGUGUCAGUAAGCAGAGGUGUUAAAGAUUAUUAGGAAUUUCCUGUUAAUUCAAAUAGAAAGAACAUGUAAGCAGUUUUUUUUUUAAUAUGAAGUUUUUCUAAGGAAGAUUGGGACCUCAAGUUUGGACAUCCUGAGGCACUAAAUGCAGAGGAAGAGCCUUUGGUGGAAGUUUAAAACUUAAAAUUGCAUCCUGGGACAUGAAAAAUGGGGUUAAAAUUUAUUGCUAGAUGUGGGAGUCAUCUGCACUGAUUUAAUAGAAACCACGAGAUUGCCAAGGGUAAGAGUUGAAAUGAGAAUCAUCAUGGGCAGAUUCAUGAAAAAUAUUUAUAUUUAAGUGGUGAGAACAGGAAAAGAAUCUAGAUACAAAAAUAAAAGGAGUGAGCAAAAAGUAGAAAGGGACACAAAGAAAAAUAUUUGAUGUUUGCAACUGAUUAGUAUUUUAUUUUAUCUUUCUUUGGCUCUUAACUGUCACCCGAAGGCUCUGACAUCAGAAAUGACUCCCACCCCUGAUCAAGAGUCUCUCCAACCUCACAGAUGCUGGCCUCUUGGCACCUGCCUAGCUCUUGGGCCUGACCUUCAGUCCUGCUGGCCUCUUAUUAUUUCCCUCACCCUAGGUUUGGCCUCUGGAACCUCUCCCUCCUGUGUACCACACCCCACCUGCUGUGGAGCCCAUUGUGGGGGCAGGGAGAGAGCCCUCCCCUGAGGAUCUACUGCCCUCUGGGGCUGUUGAGUUGGGCAGAAUCCUGGGCCUCCAGAGGCCUUUGCUCACACACACUCCUUCUCCCUGUUCCUGGCACACUCCCUUCCCCGAGAUUACACAAUAGUCAGAGUCCUUCUUUCCAGGGGAUUGGGCCAUGUGUCCUCCACCCAUAUGUCCAUCCUCCUCUCCAUGUAAGUGCUGUUUGGGCAGGAGUCAUCAUGCAAGGGUGACGUCAACAACCAUGUACCAAGCCACCGCAGCUGCUGCCACUCUGGAGCCUGUACAGAAGAAACUGAAUCUUUUUCAUAUCCUCAUAAAUCAAUGUGAGUUUUUGAUAGAAAACUAUGAUGAUUAUUUAAACUUAUCAUUAGUUGCAAACAGUAAAUAUUUUUAAACAGCAUAGAAAUAUACUGUCAGUACCAUACCUAUAUCCCCUCCCACUAAUCAGAUGGAUAUAUAGCUGACUAAAUUCCAACAUCUAGCCCCUGCAUUACUUUGCUUGAGAGUUUUCUCUUGUCUCCAGAAUCUGCUAUGCUUGCUCACCCUAUAGGUUAGUAGUGUCAGAGAGUUUCCCUCCAACCCCCAGCCCUCAGCCACUAUUUGAUGGAACUUAGUACAUAAAUACUCCAGCUCCUUUGCACCUUGGAUAGGAUAACUUUGAAGCACAUUGUCUACGUUGGCUAUGCCAGUACCCUGACAUGUUUAACUUUAAGUUACUAUCAGAAAGAACUUGCCUAAUAACAAAAGCUUUACUGUCUUUUCUUUUAUCAUUGCCCUAGUAAUGUUUCUUGAUAUCACUUACAAAAUAAACUUCUUGUGCUCUUAAACUCAA